AAGACGGAGAAGGGAAGGAAUGGAUCGAGAGAAAAGGGAUGGAAAAAUGCUGUGAGUGAAUUAACACAAGCAAUUCUGAAAUUUGGUGAGGCGUAUGAACAAGCAGAGAGUUCGAAGCUGCAACAAGUGGUAGAAAUGGAGAAGCAGAGGAUGAAAUUUGCUAAGGAUCUGGAAUUGCAAAGAAUGCAAUUCUUUAUGAAGACUCAAUUGGAAAUCUCGCAGCUCAAACAUGGGAGAAGAGUUGUUGCUGCUGGUAAUCAUCAUU
rnacentral:misc_RNA from 1 species